AGUGAACGCUGGCGGUAGGCCUAACACAUGCAAGUCGAACGGCAGCACAGUAAGAGCUUGCUCUUACGGGUGGCGAGUGGCGGACGGGUGAGGAAUACAUCGGAAUCUACUUUUUCGUGGGGGAUAACGUAGGGAAACUUACGCUAAUACCGCAUACGACCUACGGGUGAAAGCAGGGGAUCUUCGGACCUUGCGCGAUUGAAUGAGCCGAUGUCGGAUUAGCUAGUUGGCGGGGUAAAGGCCCACCAAGGCGACGAUCCGUAGCUGGUCUGAGAGGAUGAUCAGGCACACUGGAACUGAGACACGGUCAAGACUCCUACGGGAGGCAGAAGUGGGGAAUAUGGGACAAGGGGCGCAAGCCUGAUCCAGCCAUACCGCGUGGGUGAAGAAGGCCUUCGGGUUGUAAAGCCCUUUUGUUGGGAAAGAAAAGCAGAAGGUUAAUACCCCGCUGUUCUGACGGUACCAAAAGAAUAAGCACCGGCUAACUUCGUG
rnacentral:rRNA from 1 species